UACGGAGGGUGCAAGCGUUGUCCGGAUUUAUUGGGUUUAAAGGGUGCGUAGGCGGCCCGUUAAGUCAGUGGUGAAAGCCUCCAGCUCAACUGGAGAACUGCCAUUGAUACUGAAUAGCUUGAGUACUGAUGAGGUAGGCGGAAUUGAUAGUGUAGCGGUGAAAUGCAUAGAUAUUAUCAAGAACACCGAUUGCGAAGGCAGCUUACUAAGGAGUUACUGACACUGAGGCACGAAAGCGUGGGGAUCAAACAGG
rnacentral:rRNA from 1 species